AACGAACGCUGGCGGCAUGCCUAACGCAUGCAAGUCGAACGAGACCUUCGGGUCUAGUGGCGCACGGGUGCGUAACGCGUGGGAACCUGCCCUUAGGUUCGGAAUAACUCCCCGAAAGGGGUGCUAAUACCGGAUAAUGUCUUCGGACCAAAGAUUUAUCGCCGUUGGAUGGGCCCGCGUUGGAUUAGCUAGUUGGUAGGGUAAAAGCCUACCAAGGCGACGAUCCAUAGCUGGUCUGAGAGGAUGAUCCGCCACACUGGGACUGAGACACGGCCCAGACUCCUACGGAAGGCAGCAGUGGGGAAUAUUGGACAAUGGGCGAAGGCCUGAUCCAGCAGUGCCGCGUGAGUGAUGAAGGCCUUAGGGUUGUAAAGCUCUUUUACCCGGGAUGAUAAUGACAGUACCGGGAGAAUAAGCUCCGGCUAACUCCGUG
rnacentral:rRNA from 1 species